CCUACGGGAGGCAGCAGUGGGGAAUGUUGCGCAAUGCUCGUAAGAGUGACGCAGCGACGCCGCGUGAAUGACGAAGGCCUUCGGGUCGUAAAGUUCUUUCGACAGGGAAGAAAAUGCCUAUAAGUAACUGUGUAUGUAUUGACGGUACCUGUAGAAGCAGCCCCGGCUAACGCCGUGCCAGCAGCCGCGGUAAGACGGAGGGGGCGAGCGUUGGUCGGAUGGACUGGGCGUAAAGAGCACGUAGGCGGUGUUGUAAGGCAUUAGUCAAAGACUAGAGCUCAACUUUAGUACGGCUAGUGAUACUCUAAUCCUAGAGUAUCCGAGAGGAUUGCAGAAUUCCUGGUGUAGCGGUGAAAUGCGUAGAUAUCAGGCGGAAUACCGUUCGCGAAGGCGGCAAUCUGGCUGGCAACUGACGCUGAGGUGCGAAAGCGUGGGUAGCAAACAGGAUUAGAUACCCCAGUAGUC
rnacentral:rRNA from 1 species